GUAGUCUCGCACAGAUGCAUAUCAAUAAGCGGAGGAAAAGAAACUAACAGGAUUCCCCUAGUAACGGCGAGUGGAGCGGGAAGAGCUCAAAUUUGAAAUCUUAAAGGGUUUCCCUUUACGAAUUGUAGUUUAAAGAAGUGUUUUCUGUUGAGGUUUUGGUAAAAGUUCUUUGGAAUAGGACAUCAUAGAGGGUGAGAAUCCCGUAUUUGACCUUUACUUUCAACUUUGUGAUACACUUUCAAAGAGUCGGAUUGUUUGGGAAUGCAGUCCAAAAUGGGUGGUAAAUUUCAUCUAAAGCUAAAUAUUGGCGAGAGACCGAUAGCGAACAAGUACCUGUGAGGGAAAGUAUGAAAAGAACUUUGAAAAGAGAGUUAAACAGUACGUGAAAUUGUCAAAAGGGAAGCGUUUGACACCAGUGUUGUUUUUCUGAAAAUCAAUUAAAGAACUGUUUAUGCUAAGCUUGUUUAGACUUUAUCAGCUAUCUGCUUAGUUUUGAGCUUUUCUUUAAUGCACUUUUCAGUUAACAAGUCAACAUCAAUUUCUUUUGCUGUAAAAAAGCUUGAGGAAGGUGGCUUGAGAUUCGUCUUAAGUGUUUAUAGCCUCUUGCCUAUGCAGUCGGAGAGAUUGAGGUCUGCAGCGUAGAUCCUUCGGGGCUAAAUGCAUUUGUGCUAAGUUAUAGCAUUUUAUAGACAACUUGUUGACUAUGAUUUGUCUUGUAGCUUACUCGCUUAUGUUAUUUUACCUACGCUUAGGAUGUUGAUAUCGCGCUCUCACUG
rnacentral:rRNA from 1 species